AUACGUAGGUGACAAGCGUUAUCCGGAUUUACUGGGCGUAAAGGGCGUGUAGGCGGUCUUGCAAGUCAGAAGUGAAAUUCCUGAGCUCAACUCGGGCGCUGCUUCUGAAACUGCAGGACUUGAGUGCUGGAGGGGAUAGCGGAAUUCCUAGUGGAGCGGUAAAAUGCGCAGAUAUUAUGAAGAACACCGGUGGCGAAGGCGGCGAUCUGGAAAGUUACUGACGCUGAGGCGCGAAAGAGGGGGGAGCAAACAGGAUUAGAUACCCGGGUUGUCCACGCCGUAAACGAUGAAUACUAGGUGUAGGGGGUAUCGACUCCCUCUGUGCCGCAGUUAACACAAUAAGUAUUCCGCCUGGGGAGUACGGCCGCAAGGUUGAAACUCAAAUGAAUUGGCGGGG
rnacentral:rRNA from 1 species